rnacentral:rRNA from 1 species
GACGAACGCUGGCGGCGUGCUUAACACAUGCAAGUCGAACGGAAAGGCCCUGCUUUUGUGGGGUGCUCGAGUGGCGAACGGGUGAGUAACACGUGAGUAACCUGCCCUUGACUUUGGGAUAACUUCAGGAAACUGGGGCUAAUAUCGGAUAGGAGCUCCUGCUGCAUGGUGGGGGUUGGAAAGUUUCGGCGGUUGGGGAUGGACUCGCGGGUUAUCAGCUUGUUGGUGGGGUAGUGGCUUACCAAGGGUUUGACGGGUAGCCGGCCUGGGAGGGUGACCGGCCACAAUGGGACUGAGAUACGGACCAGACGCCUACGGGAGGCAGCGGUGGAGAAUAUUGCACAGUGGGCGGAAGCCUGAUGCAGAGGCGCCGCGUUCGGGAUGACGGCCUUCGGGUUGUAAACCGCUUUCGCCUGUGACGAAGCGUGAGUGACGGUAAUGAGUAAAGAAGCACCGGCUAACUACGUG